rnacentral:rRNA from 1 species
GACGAACGCUGGCGGCGUGCCUAAUACAUGCAAGUAGAACGCUGAAGAGAGGAGCUUGCUCUUCUUGGAUGAGUUGCGCACGGGUGAGUAACGCGUAGGUAACCUGCCUGGUAGCGGGGGAUAACUAUUGGAAACGAUAGCUAAUACCGCAUAAAAUUGAUUAUUGCAUGAUAAUUAAUUGAAAGAUGCAACUGCAUCACUACCACAUGGACCUGCGUUGUAUUAGCUAGUUGGUGAGGUAACGGCUCACCAAGGCGACGAUACAGAGCCGACCUGAGAGGGUGAUCAGCCACACUGGGACUGAGACACGGCCCAGACUCCUACGGGAGGCAGCAGGAGGGAAUCUUCGGCAAUGGGGGGAACCCUGACCGAGCAACGCCGCGUGAGGGAAGAAGGUUUUCGAAUCGGAAAGCUCUGUUGUAAGGGAAGAACGGGUGUGAGAGUGGAAAGUUCACACUGUGACGGUAUCUGACCAGAAAGGGACGGCUAACUACGUG